UACGAAGGGGGCUAGCGUUGUUCGGAAUUACUGGGCGUAAAGGGCGCGUAGGCUGUGCUGUAAGUCAGGCGUGAAAUCCCCGGGCUCAACCUGGGAAUUGCGCAUGAUACUGCGGCGCUUGAAGACGGGAGAGGAUGGCGGAAUUCCCGGUGUAGCGGUGAAGUGCGUAGAGAUCGGGAGGAACACCAGUGGCGAAGGCGGCCAUCUGGGACAACACUGACGCUGAGGCACGAAAGCGUGGGGAGCAAACAGG
rnacentral:rRNA from 1 species